UACGUAGGGUGCGAGCGUUGCCCGGAUUUAUUGGACGUAAAGGGCGCGUAGGCGGUCACGCACGUCCGUUGUGAAAUCGCUCGGCUCAACUGGGCGGGGUCAGCGGAUACGGCGUGGCUGGAGCAAGCUAGGGGGCAAUGGAAUUCCCGGUGUAGUGGUGGAAUGCGUAGAUAUCGGGAGGAACACCAGUGGCGAAGGCGGUUGCCUGGAGCUUUGCUGACGCUGAUGCGCGAAAGCGUGGGGAGCGAUCCGG
rnacentral:rRNA from 1 species